rnacentral:lncRNA from 1 species
AUGGGAAGAAAAAAGCAGAAUAAAACCUGUUGUGGGGAUGAGGACUGUACUGACAUUAAUUCACGUGCUAAAGCCAUAAAGCCACCGCUGGAGUGCAGCAAGUGCAGAGCGAGGACUUUGCCCAUCUGGGUUAUCCCUGUCCGCUCCUGUGUCCCCUGUGUCCAUGCCAGCAGGAGCCCUGGGGAUAGGAGCAGGUGGUGGUGGCACCACACAGGCCCAUGGCAUGUCCUGGGAGGGCAGCGGGGGCUGCGCUGUGUGUGCUCCAGUGCCCAGCCCUCCGGAAGAGAAGGAAACCGGCAGAGACAGGCAGCUGAGGGACAGGCAGGAGACAGGAACAAGGUCAGCACAAACGCAGGAACCCCGGUCUCGGCCACAGACAAAGGAGCGUCCAUCUGAGGAGCUGGAGGGCCAGAGCUGAGUGAGGGCUCCACCACCCAGAAACUCAGUCCCCCGACUUCUGUGCCUGCAGGCACAUUUAACAGUGGUCAGGUGAUAUCCUAGCUUGCAAUAAAACCCCCAGCCAGCCUGGAAACA